AACGACAUUUAUUCGACGUUGAGAAAAACAAAAAAAAGUCACUUUCAUCAUCAUCGUUUAUGGAUGAUGACGACGAACGUUGUCCUUAUUAGAGACAAACGUAACCCUUUUCCAAUGUCCAUCUUCGGCGACUCGUGUAUCCAUAUCGUGUCCCCUGAACGUGGUCUUCUUCGUCCACGAAGGAUUCACCAAGAAUAUCCCCUAUCAGAGAUCUACCCCACCACUGUCUGCUCCCGCAGAAUCACCCUCCACUUCCGCUUCGCUUGGUAGCCACUCCUCUCAACCUCUGUUGAUACUUCCUCGCGCGUGUAUCUCGUCAGUCGGCUUGGAGCCACGUGCGUGUGCUCGAGAAGCUCCAGCAUGCUAGUGUCUUUUCGCUCGUUCACGAUCGAGUUUUCAUUUCAUGUUCGUUAACAAUAUAUCGACGAAAGAGUUUCACAAAGAGAAUCAAUUAGCAAAAGCAUUCGUGUGUGUGAUAAGAGUGAUUUUGAAAAAAAAAGGAAUCGAUUUUUGAAGAAGUGGAUGGAAGAGUAUGUCAAUUCUUUCGAGUUUUCAAGUCAAAGAAUUAGCUACUCUUGUGAUUAAGGAGAAUUUGAAAGAAUUACAGAGUGCGAUUAAAAAUAUUAAAAAAUUUUAAGUACACACAACGAAUAGCCAACAACUUAUUCGUUGGAUCGGAAAGAACCACGCCGUCUCGACAGUGCGUCUAAAACGACCAGGAAACCCAAACUUGAAGAUAGAUGGUGGAGGGAAGGAGAACUAAAAAUAUCGGCCGUUGGCACGCCGUUGGUUUGCUGUAUUUCAACUUGAACAAUUUUACCAGCUGGAGAACGAGUCGUUGGGUCGCUUGUAAUCCUGCUGAGAGGUUCCAGACGUUGAUCGAAGUCGAAGCGGUGUGAUCCGCUUCCUCUGAGCGAUCUGUCCACAAGGACAUUUAUCUCUAACCGUUAAGGACAUUAUCGUUCGUUAUCGUUUAAUAAUCUUACCUCGAAGAAGAAGCUUUUUUUUCCCAAAAGCUUAAAGAUAAUGGACGAUGUCGGUGCAGAAGAUCGAUAAUCAAUAUCCCGUUCCGAUGAAGCAUUCGAUCGAUUGAAUCCGAUGUAUCUUGGCAACAUGGACAUGUCGGAUAAGGAUCGGCAACAGAAACGAGAGCAGAAAUCUCGGAAGCUUUGAGUGGUCGCUUUUGAUCGAUGGGAUCGAUCCAAUAGCAUCUACGAGAGAGAGAGAGAGAGAGAGAGACAGAAGAAGAGUUUAACCCCUCCUCGUGUUCUUCUACUCAUGGUGUUUUAUGGCGAGCUCGUUUGAGAUUCUUCGCGUGGAGUCGCGGACGUAUUUAUAGAGCCGCGCGCGGACUCGCGAGUUCACGCACGUAGAAUCGCGCGCGCACCUUCUCCUCCAGGAGGA